rnacentral:rRNA from 1 species
GAUGAACGCUGGCGGCGUGCUUAACACAUGCAAGUCGAACGAAGCACUUUGAAAGCUUGCUUUUAAAGUGACUGAGUGGCGGACGGGUGAGUAACGCGUGGGUAACCUGCCUUAUACAGGGGGAUAACAGUUGGAAACGACUGCUAAUACCGCAUAAGCGCACAGUGCCGCAUGGCACAGUGUGAAAAACUCCGGUGGUAUAAGAUGGACCCGCGUCUGAUUAGCUAGUUGGUGAGGUAACGGCUCACCAAGGCGACGAUCAGUAGCCGGCUUGAGAGAGUGAUCGGCCACAUUGGGACUGAGACACGGCCCAAACUCCUACGGGAGGCAGCAGUGGGGAAUAUUGCACAAUGGGGGAAACCCUGAUGCAGCAACGCCGCGUGAGUGAAGAAGUAUUUCGGUAUGUAAAGCUCUAUCAGCAGGGAAGAUAAUGACGGUACCUGACUAAGAAGCCCCGGCUAACUACGUGCCAGCCGCCGCCGUAAUAC